CCGCCGCGUGUAGAGAGAGCACGGGGCGUGAAUAGAUAGGGAACGCUGGCGUAGGCCAUGGUUCAGACGCGAAAGGGUUAAGCGUGGAGACCGCGGAGCGCGCGAAGCCGAGCCGCGCAAAGCCGGGAAGCUGCGCAGAUGAGAGAGGCGCGCGGGCUGAAGCGGCGCAGAGCCGGGAACCCGCCGGCGGGGCGAGGUGCCGGGAAGCUGCGGGGAUAAGAGAAACAGAAGUUUGGAAGUGAAGUAAAAGAGAAAUGGGAAUGCUGGAAGAUAGAAGUGAAAUGGGAGAGGUAGGAAUGCCCGGAGAUAGAGAAAUAGAGAAAAAUAAGGCCUCCCCUCAACAUGCCAAUUAGAAGGCUUGGAUUCGGUCUGCCCGAUUAGUGAGGCGAUGAGCACCUGGGCGGCUAGCCGCAGGUCACCGAAGACAGGCACGAAUUAACAUCAGUAAAGCUUCCCCACAAUGCAACAAUUAGGAAGCUUGGAUUCGGUCUGCCUGAUUUAAGGCGGUAAGCGCCAGCAAAGCUCGACCAGAGUAUGAGCUGCAGGUCACCGAAGAUAGGCACGAACCAACACUAAUAAGUCUCCCCCACAAUAAGGCAAUGAGAAGGCUUGGAUUCGGUUUGCCUGAUAGGACUUGUAAGAGCCUGUGGCAACUCUAGCAAGUAGAGCAGAGUGUGUACCGCGGGACACCGAAGACAGGCGUGUAUCAACGCUAAAAAAUAAAAAGAAAGGGGGAUCUGUGGGGAGCAAUCCGGACUAGACUAAGUUACUCGAAUUGGGACUUAUUCUAUGCAUCUGCUCUCCCACAAUAUGGCGCUGGGAGAGAAGUAAACAGCUUCCGCACAGCUGCCUCCAGUUCAACCAAUUAACUGUAGGACUUGCUCCUGAUUGGAGAGCAGCGUACUCGGCGUGUGGGCAGCCGAGUUGGGAUUGGCGGAAGAGGACUAUAAAGGAGGAGAGAGACGGCAUGCACCAGGAACAUCUAUGGGGAACAUCUAGCUGAAGGAACACCUGUGCAGCCCCCGAGAAAAGCCGGCCGGCGGUGUGCCGCUCCCCUGCGGAAGUGGGGAAUGUGGCCAGGGGGAACUGCCCUUCCACGGAGGUGGAAGGGAUAGUAGCCAACCCGGGAAGAACCAGCAGCAAACCCGGGGAGGGCCGAGCAGACGAAAGAACAGCGCAGGGUCCUGUGUCGUUCCUCCACGAAGAGGGGGAGCGACAGUUACCUUUAUU